AUGACUAGUGGCAGAGUGAGGGAAGGAAGGGAUGACUGGUGACAGAGUGAGAGAGGGGGUGACUAGUGACAGAGUGAGAGAGGGGGUGACUAGUGACAGAGUGAGGGAGGGAGUGGGUGACUAGUGACAGAGUGAAGGAGGUGGUGACUGUCACUAGUCACCCCAUCCCUCCCUCUGUCACUAAUCACCCCCUCCCUCACUCUGUCACUAGUCACACCCUCCCUCACUCUGUCACUAGUCACCCCCUUCCUCACUGUCACUAGUCACAUCGUCCCUCUCUCUGUCACUAGUCACACUCUCCCUCACUGUCACUAGAGU